UGAGAGGCUGUUCUAUUUCUAUAUUUUAUUUUUAACCUCUUUUACUCUUUAUUGUGAAGGAUUCUGGGAUGCUGCUCCUAAUUGACCACUAGAUAUAUAGAAUACGCAAGUUAGUCCCAAGCUGCAACUAAAUAAAACUCAUUAGAAAACUCAUUAGAAAAUUCUGCUGGCCCUAAAUCUUGGAAGACUUUGAACUGAUUUCUAUUAAAUACCUCAUGACCACAAUUCUGGGCUCUAGCAUGCUUUGAAGAACAAUGGCACAUAGGAAAAAAAUCCCCUUCAAGGUGUUAUAAAACAUUUGCCUUUGCAUAACAGGACUUCAUUGCAGCUCACAAUGGAUCAGACUGUCAGAUUAUGAACUUUGUUUUGGAGACUAUGUGCCAUUGUAUGUGUGCAUGGUAUUUAACAUACUAGGAGUUAAGCCCCAUACUUUCAUGGACAGCUGCAAAUGUUUCACAUUAUUUCAGCAGCAGAAAUUUGUAAUAAACUUUGUUGACUAGAA